rnacentral:sRNA from 2 species
UAGCUCAGUUGGUAGAGCAGUUGACUUUUAAUCAAUUGGUCGCAGGUUCGAAUCCUGCACGACCCACCAAUUUCAGUAUUUAACUCAGAUGCUGAACGUGAAGGAUAACGUUGCGACAGCAACGGCCCGAAGGGCGAGGCGAAGUCGAGUCAUCCUGCACGACCCACCA